rnacentral:rRNA from 1 species
UACGAAGGGGGGCUAGCGUUGUUCGGAAUCACUGGGCGUAAAGCGCACGUAGGCGGAUCUUUAAGUCAGGGGUGAAAUCCCGAGGCUCAACCUCGGAACUGCCUUUGAUACUGGGGAUCUCGAGUCCGGGAGAGGUGAGUGGAACUGCGAGUGUAGAGGUGAAAUUCGUAGAUAUUCGCAAGAACACCAGUGGCGAAGGCGGCUCACUGGCCCGAUACUGACGCUGAGGCACGAAAGCGUGGGGAGCAAAGCAGG